CGGUCAAUUAGUCAAUAUCGCAUAAACUUAUUCUACCAGCUGAUUUUUGCCAUGAGAAGCUCAAUUUUGCAAAAAGUCGUUUCAAUCAAACACUACUUGUUAUUUUCUUUAUGUUCUGUUUUAAAUUCCAGCGCGUUUCUUUGGUCAUCGCCUUCUUUGUCUUGUGAUGUCAGAACUCACGUUAAGGUCAGGCCAGCUGAACUCGAGGGAAAGUGGCACGUGACCCAUAGGUCAACUUCCUACCCCCAAAGAGAAGUGAAUUGCCCCAAAUUUCCCAAACAGCUCUUUGUACCCAUCUGUAGAAUAGCAAAUUUUUCAGCUGCAGUUGAAUCUGAAGGAGUAACCCAAAUACCGAUGAGAAUGGUUUCAUGCUUCUACUGGCUGAACAGAUACGAAUGUAUGGCUGAGCCAUUAUUUCUUACCCAGACUGCAAAAAAUGAAAGACGUUACGACCCAGGGAACAGAAGCUCACAAUCGAACCAAAGGUUGCAGACAAACUGGAGUUCGCACGAAAAUGGACUUAAGAGAGGUGAAUUUGUUCAGUCAUUAAAGUUCGAUGAAUUGGGAUGUAUCGGAUUUAACAGACUCUUAUGCAAAUUAUACGACUUUGAAAACAGUCCACAUCUGUAUCCUCCAAAAACGACCGAGCCGAAUUUACUAUUUCUCUACAUAGACAACCAAGUAGCGCUGGUUUAUACGUGUUAUAUAUGUCACAAAUCAAUGCUGACUGAAAAGUUAGAGAUGGCAUAUGUUUUGUCCAGGAAACCGAGAGUUACCAAGCCUAAAAUGAAACUGCUGCGUCAUAUCAUGGCUGCCAACAAUGUUCAACUACCACUACAUGGUGCUUCCCUCUCGAACUAUUGCUCGUUUGUAAAAUAAACUUUGGGCUCUUUUCCAGUUCACCCAUUUCAUUUUCUUCUGAAUUUCAAUAUA